rnacentral:rRNA from 1 species
AUUGAACGCUGGCGGCAUGCUUUACACAUGCAAGUCGAACGGUAACAGGGUGCUUGCACCGCUGACGAGUGGCGAACGGGUGAGUAAUGCGUCGGAACGUGCCGAGUAGUGGGGGAUAACGCAGCGAAAGUUGUGCUAAUACCGCAUACGUACUGAGGUAGAAAGUGGGGGACCUUCGGGCCUCACGCUAUUCGAGCGGCCGACGUCUGAUUAGCUAGUAGGUGAGGUAAAGGCUCACCUAGGCGACGGUCAGUAGCGGGUAUGAGAGGAGGAUCCGCCACACUGGGAAUGAGACACGGCCCAGACUCCUGCGGGAGGCAGCAGUGGGGAAUUUUGGACAAUGGGCGAAAGCCUGAUCCAGCCAUGCCGCGUGUCUGAAGAAGGCCUUCGGGUUGUAAAGGACUUUUGUCAGGGAGGAAAUCCCUAGUGCUAAUAACACUGGGGGAUGACAGUACCUGAAGAAUAAGCACCGGCUAACUACGUGCCAGCAGCCGCGGUAA